rnacentral:rRNA from 1 species
GGAAUAUUGGACAAUGGGCGCAAGCCUGAUCCAGCGACGCCGCGUGCGUGAAGAAGGCCUGCGGGUUGUAAAGCACUUUUAGUGGGGAUGAAAAGCCAAGGGCUAAUACCUUUUGGUCUUGACCUAACCCAAAGAAAAAGCACCGGCUAACUCUGUGCCAGCAGCCGCGGUAAUACAGAGGGUGCAAGCGUUAAUCGGAAUUACUGGGCGUAAAGCGUGCGUAGUCGGCUUUUCAAGUCGGGUGUGAAAGCCCCGGGCUCAACCUGGGAAUUGCAUUCGAUACUGGAUCGCUAGAGUUCGGCAGAGGGAAGCGGAAUUUCGGGUGUAGCGGUGAAAUGCGUAGAUAUCCGAAGGAACAUCAGUGGCGAAAGCGGCUUCCUGGACCAGAACUGACGAUCAGGCACGAAAGCGUGGGGAGCAA